rnacentral:misc_RNA from 1 species
GUGAAUCAUCAAAUUUUUGAACGCAAAUUGCACUCUCUGGCAUUCCGGAGAGUAUGCCUGUUUGAGGGUCAGUUUAAAUAAAAAUCGAGGUGGUGCUUUUAUGUGACCCAUAGGAAUGGGGUGAGUUGUGACCUUUUAAAAGGUUUAAGUGACCUAAAAUUGAUUCCGUGUGCAUCUUAGACGUACAUAAGAAUAUUUUUCUAUUCGUCCGGAGUUGCCAACUUUUAUUAGGUAUGACCAUGUGUGUUGUGGCUUCGUACCUAGAAUAUACU